rnacentral:rRNA from 1 species
UACGUAGGUGGCAAGCGUUGUCCGGAUUUAUUGGGUUUAAAGGGUGCGUAGGCGGCCUAAUAAGUCAGUGCUGAAAUAUCCCGGCUUAACCGGGAGGGUGGCAUUGAUACUGUAAGGCUAGAGUAAAGUUGAGGUAGGCGGAAUUGACGGUGUAGCGGUGAAAUGCAUAGAUAUCGUCAAGAACUCCGAUAGCGUAGGCAGCUUACUAAGCUUAAACUGACGCUGAUGCACGAAAGUGUGGGGAUCAAACAGG